CUCCGUAGAUCCAGUCGGCACAUCACUGACUCGAAGCGGAGCUGGUGACGAACUUGGUCACCAGACCCGGUGGUCCCGAGCUACGCAGCACACAAACAGAACAGCGGCAGAGUGGGAGGAACUUCAGCUCUCGCGGAAUCUGCAGAAGCCGCCAGUCUCCUGGGCAAGCCUCGCGUUGUUUGGUUAAGGGGCGGGGCGUUCAGCGAGAGGGCGGAGUCCAACCCGGGUAGGGGUGGGAGGUGUUCCCAGGUCCUGUUGACUGGCGUCUUUCUUCUGAGGGCGCCUCGCGCGUGCGCAGCUCCCAGGAGGUGGUGGCGACUAGGGCAGUCCAGCUGCCCUGGUCGCGGGUUGCCGGUCGGGCCCCGCCCUCCCGCGCCGGCGCUGGCGGACGCUGUGCCCGGCCAGUCGGCUGUCUCUGCGGCGCUCCGCCCGCCGCCGGCCU
rnacentral:lncRNA from 1 species